AAAUUAUCAGAGCAAAUAUUUUGUUAAUUCAACUGCCUUUGCUUUGGACUUGGGGGCCUGCAGAUUUCACAGUCUGCUCCUCUUAAAUGCAUUAGCUGGAUUCUCGGUGAACUUGGUUCCACUCGGCGUGAUAAGUAUCACUCGCUGAGGACACCCGUUGAAAAAGGUGGCCAGGCUUGCGGACGAACCGCUUCCAACGGUCUAUUGACUUAGACAACGAAUUUACG
rnacentral:misc_RNA from 1 species